rnacentral:rRNA from 1 species
AGGGAGAAGCCCAGCACCGAAGCGCCCGUCCCAACGGGGCGGGAGGGCAAUGUGGUGUUUAGGAAUAGCGCGACCGAAGGUUGAUCUAAGCGCAAGUCCUCCUGACUGGGGCUCUCGCCCAUAGAGGGUGCAAGGCCCAUAGUCGCUUAUGAUCUCCGGCGGAAGCAAAAUUCCUUGGAGUCGGGUUGCUUGAGAGUGCAGCCCUAAGUGGGUGGUAAACUCCAUCUAAGGCUAAAUACGACCACGAAACCGAUAGCGAACAAGUACCGUGAGGGAAAGUUGAAAAGAACUUUGAAGAGAGAGUUCAAGAGUGCGUGAAACCGUUUAGAGGUAAACGGGUGGGCCCUCGAAGGUGAUCGUCGGAGGGAUUCAGUCGGACGUGACCGUAAGCGUCGUUCGUCUCUAACGGUGCGGACCUCGGUCGGCCGGGCGGGCGAAGGCUGCGGGCCGUUUGGCGCAUUUCCUUCCGUUCGAACUACGCUGCGACCAGUCUGGUCACUGAAAGUUGUCGUCCUUGAAAACGGGCGCUGGAAGGUGGCCGGCGGCGUCUCUCGGGAUGCCGUCGGUGUUUAUAGCCGGCUCGUUUCACGAGUGAGCGUUCAUCAGACUGGGGACGAUUCUAGCCCUGUGCGGGCUACGCCGAGCACUCCGUUUACGGAGCGUUGCGGGGUGACUGGAUGUGCCUGCGGUUGGGAGUUUCACCUUUGUGUGGGCUACCGCCGUAGCCGUCUUGAAACACGGACCAAGGAGUCUAACAUGUGCGCGAGUCAUUGGGUCUUGAAUAGGCCCAAAGGCGUAAUGAAAGUGAAGGGCGGUUCGGCCGUCUGCCUUGGGAUCCCGUGAACCUCGCGUUCGCGGGCGCACCAAGGGCCCGUCCCGGUCGCCUCGUCGACGGGGCGGAGCAAGAGCGUACACGUUGGGACCCGAAAGAUGGUGAACUAUGCCUGGGCAGGACGAAGCCAGAGGAAACUCUGGUGGAGGUCCGCAGCGAUUCUGACGUGCAAAUCGAUCGUCAGACCUGGGUAUAGGGGCGAAAGACUAAUCGAACCAUCUAGUAGCUGGUUCCCUCCGAAGCGAGUGCCAAGUGGGCCACUUUUGGUUAAGCAGAACUGGCGCUGUGGGAUGAACCAAACGCCGGGUUAAGGGGCCCGAUGCGAGACGCUCAUGAGAUCCCAUGAAAGGUGUUGGUUGCUAUAGACAGCAGGACGGUGGCCAUGGAAGUCGGAAUCCGCUAAGGAGUGUGUAACAACUCACCUGCCGAAGCAACUAGCCCUGAAAAUGGAUGGCGCUUCAGCGUCGACCCCAUACCCGGCCGCCGCGGCCGAAAAGCCUCGUGUUUUAAGCCGCGGUGAGUAGGAGGGGCGCGGAGGCGAGCGUCGAAGGUGCCGGGCGUAAGCCCGCCUGGAGCCGCCUCCGGCGCAGAUCUUGGUGGUAGUAGCAAAUACUCAAGUGAGAACCUUGAGGACUGAGGUGGAGAAGGGUUCCAUGUGAACAGCAGUUGAACAUGGGUCAGUCGGUCCUAAGGGAUAGGAGAAAUCCGUUCCGAGGCGGGACCUCUCUYGUUAUUGAAAGUCCCGCUGAUGACCGAAAGGGAAUCGGGUUAAUAUUCCCGAACCCGGACGCGGAGAUCGUCCUCUUCGGAGGUACAUUGCGGUAACGCAAACGAGCUCGGAGACGUCGACGGGAGCACCGGGAAGAGUUAUCUUUUCUUUGUAAGGAUUCGACUCCCUGGAAUCGGCUCGCCCGGAGAUAGGGAUGGUGUUUCCGUAAAGCACCGCACCUCUUGCGGUGUCCGGAUCGCUCCCGUCGGCCCUUGAAUAUCCGAGUGAGAGAUAGUGAUUUUCGUGCCGGACCGUACCC